rnacentral:lncRNA from 1 species
GAAUCGAUGUAAUUUUAUAAAAUUAUUAUAAAAUAAUUUUAAAUAAAACAUCAUGAAAAAAGAUGGAUUAAAACAACUUCAAAAAAUAAUGAAUAAAUUAAAUUCAAGUAUGGUUGUAAAUACGAAUGGAUACGAGUAAACCCUUAAUUGAACUCGAAUUUGGAUAUAAACUCAAUAAGGUUGGAAAAAUUUGAUGUUAUGAGAAGACACAACAGAACACAACUCUAAAGAUGUCGGGGAUUGACGUGAGCUUCUAGAGCAGCUACAAUAUAAGGAAUUUGGAUUGAAAGAAAUCAAAUUAAAGAGUGCGCCAAAAUAGGUACAAUCUGAUUGAGCUAAUUUUAUUAUCUUUGUUUUAUCACUUUUUAAUCUAAAAACUGUACUGAUGGGCCUACGUUUGAAAUAGAUGUUUGGACUCGUUUCAAAGUCAGAUUCAAAACCUAAAAUUAUUAUGAGAAGCCCAAACCAUAUCAUUUAGAUGUUGAUAACUAAGUCUAGCGAAGUUACCAAAUAUGUGUUAGGGAGUAUGGAGUGGUGAUAGGGUUUUCUCCAUAGAAAAAUACGAAAGAGCACACUAAAAAUCAGAAAAGAGCACACAAAUUGAAACAAAAUUUCAAUUGACAGAUUUUCUAACUAAGACUCUAGGAGGUAGAGAAAUAACAAAUUCUCACUCUAAGCUUGGAAUACUCAAUAUAUAUUCCAAGGCUUGAGGGGGAGUAAAU